rnacentral:rRNA from 1 species
GACGAACGCUGGCGGCGUGCUUAACACAUGCAAGUCGAACGGUAAGGCCCUUCGGGGUACACGAGUGGCGAACGGGUGAGUAACACGUGGGUGAUCUGCCCUGCACUUCGGGAUAAGCCUGGGAAACUGGGUCUAAUACCGGAUAGGACUCCGGACUGCAUGGUCUGGGGUGGAAAGCUUUUGCGGUGUGGGAUGGGCCCGCGGCCUAUCAGCUUGUUGGUGGGGUGAUGGCCUACCAAGGCGACGACGGGUAGCCGGCCUGAGAGGGUGACCGGCCACACUGGGACUGAGAUACGGCCCAGCCUCCUACGGGAGGCAGCAGUGGGGAAUAUUGCACAAUGGGCGCAAGCCUGAUACAGCGACGCCGCGUGAGGGAUGACGGCCUUCGGGUUGUAAACCUCUUUCAGCAUCGACGAAGCGAAAGUGACGGUAGGUGCAGAAGAAGGACCGGCCAACUACGUGCCAGCCGCCGCCGUAA